rnacentral:rRNA from 1 species
CUACGGGUUGCUCCAGCUGCGAAUAUUCUACAAUGCACGAAAGUGUGAUAGAGCGAGCCAAAGUGCUUAUCGUACAGAUAAGCUUUUCUUUAGUGUAAAAAUCUAAAGGAAUAAGGACUGGGAAAGAUCGGUGCCAGCCGCCGCGGUAAUACCGACAGUUCGAGUGGCAUCCAACUUUAUUGGGUCUAAAACAUCCGUAGCUUGUUUAUUAAGUCUCUUGUGAAAUCUAACGUCUCAAGCGUUAGGCUUGCAGGAGAUACUGGUAAGCUAGAGACCGGUAGGCGUAAGGAGUACGGGCAAGGUAGUGGUAAAAUAUGUUAAUCUUGCUUGGACUAACGAUUUAGUGAAGGCACCUUACGAGGACGGAUCUGACAGUGAGGGAUGAAGGCCAGGGGCGCAAAACGGAUUAGAUACCCCAGUAGUC